UUCUUAUUAGAUGAUGACUGUCACGUGUUUAAUUAGAUGUCCAUCCCAUGAAAGAUGAAAAUAUGACACAUGACAAUCAUCAUUCAAUAAGAAUGUGACACAUGACAAUCAACAUUC
rnacentral:pre_miRNA from 1 species